UACGAAGGGGGCUAGCAUUGUUCGGAAUUACUGGGCGUAAAGCGCACGUAGGCGGAAUGUUAAGUCAGGGGUGAAAUCCCGGGGCUCAACUCCGGAACUGCCUUUGAUACUGGCAUUCUCGAGUCCGGAAGAGGUGAGUGGAAUUCCGAGUGUAGAGGUGAAAUUCGUAGAUAUUCGGAGGAACACCAGUGGCGAAGGCGGCUCACUGGUCCGGUACUGACGCUGAGGUGCGAAAGCGUGGGGAGCAAACAGG
rnacentral:rRNA from 1 species